rnacentral:ncRNA from 2 species
AAUAAAUAUCCGGGGAGCUGAAAAGCUGAGAGGAAACUUGAUUUCGACCCGAUAACCUGAUACGGAUAAUGCCGUCGUAGGGAGAUAACAUUAGGAUUUU